rnacentral:rRNA from 1 species
CUCGGCGGAUCAGCCCGCGCCCCGUAAAAAGGGACGGCCCGCCGCAGGAACCCUAAACUCUGUUUUUAGUGGAACUUCUGAGUAUAAAAAACAAAUAAAUCAAAACUUUCAACAACGGAUCUCUUGGUUCUGGCAUCGAUGAAGAACGCAGCAAAAUGCGAUAAGUAAUGUGAAUUGCAGAAUUCAGUGAAUCAUCGAAUCUUUGAACGCACAUUGCGCCCGCCAGUAUUCUGGCGGGCAUGCCUGUUCGAGCGUCAUUUCAACCCUCAAGCCCAGCUUGGUGUUGGGAGCUGCAGUCCUGCUGCACUCCCCAAAUACAUUGGCGGUCACGUCGAGCU